rnacentral:rRNA from 1 species
UACGUAGGGGGCGAGCGUUAUCCGGAUUUACUGGGCGUAAAGCGCGUUAAGGCGGUUGGCAAAGUUGGUUGUGAAAUCUCAGGGCUCAACCCUGAAAUUGCGACCAAUACUGGUCGACUAGAGUGCAAGAGAGGAAGGUGGAAUUCCCGGUGUAGUAGUGAAAUGCGUAGAUAUCGGGAGGAACACCAGUGGCGAAGGCGGCCUCUGGCUUGUAACUGACGCUGUAGCGCGAAAGCGUGGGGAGCGAACCGG